rnacentral:rRNA from 1 species
GCUAUAGGUUUAUUUUUUUUUAGGCGACACAAAGGAAUAAUCAAGCAUGCAUCCAACCCGUUGGAGCUCUCCCAUUUUUCACUGCACAUGAUGUGAUUCACUUUAAUUCUGGUCAUUCUCCCAACAUAAAUCGGCACAUGUUUCCGUAGGUGAACCUGCUCCUGGUUCAUUUAUAAUCAAAGUCUCUUUAUGGCACUUUUAGAAAAGUCCAUAUCCACCUGGUGUGCAAUGUGAUGUCACUGGAGGUCAGCGGCCGCAAAAGGCCGUUUGGUCACUCUAGGGAUUUAUAUCUACUCAGAACUUUAGUGAUUUUGUCUGAAAAAUAUCAUGAAUAACGUAAUUCAAAAUACAACCUUCAACAACGGAUCUCUUGGUUCUCGCAUCGAUGAAGAACGCAGCGAAAUGGGAUACGUAAUGUGAAUUGCAGAAUUCAGUGAAUCAUCGAAUCUUUGAACGCAUAUUGCGCUCUUUGGUAUUCCGGAGAGCAUGCUUGUUUGAGUAUCAGUAAACACCCCAACUCCCUUUUCUUUUUUGAAAUGGGAGCUGGACUUGAGUGAUCCCAACACUUUUCUUCACUGGAAAGUGGCGGGUCACUUGAAAUGCAGGUGCAGCUGGACUUUUCUCUGAGCUAUAAGCAUAUCUAUUUAGUCUGCCUAAGAAACAGAUUAUUACCUUUGCUGCAGCUAACAUAAAGGAGAUGAGUUCUUGUGCUGACUGAUGCAGGGUUCACAGAGACAGCUUCGCGGCUGACUUUGUAAACUCGAUCUCAAAUCAAGUAAGACUACCCGCUGAACUUAAGCAUAUCAAUAAGCGGAGGA